UACGUAGGGUGCGAGCGUUGUCCGGAAUUAUUGGGCGUAAAGGGCUCGUAGGCGGUUUGUCGCGUCGGGAGUGAAAACUCAGGGCUUAACCCUGAGCCUGCUUCCGAUACGGGCAGACUAGAGGUAUGCAGGGGAGAACGGAAUUCCUGGUGUAGCGGUGAAAUGCGCAGAUAAUCAGGAGGAACACCGGUGGCGAAGGCAGGUCUCUGGGCCACUACUGACGUGAGAAGCGAAAGCAUGGGGAGCGAACAGG
rnacentral:rRNA from 1 species